rnacentral:lncRNA from 1 species
CUCACAUUGUGUUGAAUUGUUUUAAACCGAAAACUUUUUAAUUCCCCUCUUAUAUGAGACUAUUAUGGUUUUUGCACUUGAAAAGGGGCAAGCAUAAUACUUAAAAAAAAACCUAUUAAAAAGACACUUCUUUGUUUUCUUGUUUCCUUUAGAACGUGUUAUUUAAUUUGACUAAGCGCGAGCAAAGUUAGGGACAAAAUAGUGCACAUAGAAGUUUAGGGAUGAAUAAGAAAUAUAAUUUGAAAAAAUAGAAAAAAAUAUAAUAUUUUUUAAUUGGUAGUUUGAUGGUGAAAUAUAAAUUUGAGGGGAAAAACAAACACACACACAACACACACACAUAAUAAUAUAGAAUAUAUUAGCCCCCCAAAAUAAUUUCACUCUAUUUUUGUACAUAGAUCUAUAUUUUUUUGUUUUAUAUAAACUUAAACAAGAACCAUUCUUUUUUAUUUAUUUUUUGCACAGAUGUAAGAAUGCUUUGUAAUUUUGUUAGAAUAUCGACAUUACAAUAUUCGUAUCUAUACUAUAUAGUAUAUACUAAGCAAGAAUUAAUUUCCUAAAAAAAAAUAAGAAGUCUGCUAAUUAUUUCUCUCUCCUACGUGGAAUAUUUCUUAAUAAAUUUUGUUUUCUAAUUAUAAUUUAUUUAGGUCAAAGGACUUCAAAAACAAUUAGAAAAGAGAUUUAUUGAGAAAAUUCCACUAUUAAAAAGAAUCGAAAAUCUAAAUUUUUAAAGGAAGCUUUAAUUUAAUAGUUUAUUUUCGUAAAAAACUAUAAAAAAAAUUAGAAAAAAAGUUAUUAAGAACAAAUACCACGUUAUGAGAGAGAAUCAAUGAUCAUGCUUUCGAAAUUUUUUUUAAAAAGAAAAAUUAAGUUGUACAGUUCAUUUGAGUAAAAUAAAUAUAAAAAAAUGAGAAAAAAAUUAUAGAAAAGGCCACAUUAGGGAGAGAUCAAUGAGAUGCUGUUAAUAUUUUAGGAAACUACAUUUAUAUAGUACAUGUAUACACAAUAGAUUACUCUAUAGUUUUCCAAUCUAAAAAAAACAAAAAAACAUUAACAGAAAUACAUUUAGACAAAUUUAAAUAAAUUUGAAUUUAACAUUGCCAAAAUAUAACAAGGAUAAUAAAAAAUUCUCAAACAGCAUUUAAGAAUGAUAAAUUUUAUUACCGAAAGAAAUCUAGAAUUUCUAAUUUAAAACUAAUAAAAUAAUUAAAUUAAAAUUAAAAUUAAAUAAAAACAAACCGUUAAAUAUUAGGCACAUUGUCUCUCUUGAGCUAAAUAAGGAAAAUUUAAUAAGCAAACAAAAGGAUGAAUAUAUAUUAGAUUAAAUGAAAUAAUUAAAUAAAAUAAUUCUAAAAAUUAUAAUUAUUUACUGAGGCAAUGCUUAUAUGGGCGUAGCCAUGCUAGAAUUUGACCCCACUAAAUUAAACAAAGCGAGAGAAGAGACAAGAAGAGGAAGUGAGCUGACGAAAGAAAAGGGGGAAACGGCGGAAAAAAAAAAAAGAGGAAAAUUGAGAAGAAAAGGGAGAAAUGGUAGAAGUGUUGAGACGGGGGAAAAUAGUAAGGUUGACACAAGGUGGAAUACACAAAAAAUGAUAUUUAUAAUAAAUUCUAUAAAGUAUCAAAUUUUGACACCGCGAUCAAAUUUUUAUAGCAAUUUUUGACCCAAGAGAUCUAAGUUUUAUAAUUUUAACUCUAUAACCUAAAAUUCUGGCUUCACCCCUAAUUAUUGUACAAAUGUGCAAUGUAAACUAUUACUCAUAAUAGGGACAUAAUAAUCACCAUAAUAGUUCUUAAAUGUCUUUUAAUUUUCCAAAAAAUGAAGGAACAAAAGUUUCCAAAAAUUAACAGUUUAUUCCAUUCCAUAUUGCCCUCCAAAUAAAUGCUUAAAAAAUGCCCAAACAAAACCUACCAGUAGUAUUACCUCUGCAGUUGAGAGCCCAGCCAGCGAGAAAGUUAGAGGACAGAGAAAGCGACGGAGACGCAAUCACACCGCAACACUUGCGCACGCUGAAAAAACCUAACGGUCUUUUUCUCCGUCGUCGAUCGAAUUCAAACACGUCUUCGAUUUUUUCUUCUUGUUUACACAGUUUGAUUAUUCUUCGUUUGUUUUCCGAUUUCGAUCGGUUUUGCCCUAGAUUUCUAUCGAGAAUGUGCAGGCUUCGUUUGUUCUCGGAGAAUCUGAUUCUUUUGAAUGGAAGAUAAUUGAGGGUUAUCGAGGGGAGGUGUAUGGAUAGAGGCAUUGAUUCUUCUUGUAUAUUGUGUGUUUGAUGUGUUAUUGCGGUGUGAAGAUCGAUCCGGGAUCGAGAAAAAAAAAAAAAAUGGGGAGCACGAAAAGAAGGCGGUUUUGGUUCGGGACCUUGCGGAAGAAGCGAAGAAGCGGAUUGUUUUUCUGGUCAUAUGCGUAGUUGGACUUUCGUAUCUCAUGUCCUGUAAGUUUUUGGGUAUUUUGUUUCACUGAUUUGGGUGAAGAUCAUCAUUUAGUUGGUGGCUUCAUGGAUUCUUU